UCACCCUCCAGACGCAUCUCGUGACCGCCUCACAAGUCACCAGAAAGGAGACCCUUCAAUAAUCACAAAAGCCAGCUGAUAUCUUAUACGAUUCUCUCUUCUAUUCCUCGAGUUUAUAGGGAUUGAUUUUGCCUCUAGCUGUUAGAAUAUCGGUAUCUUCAUCGCUCUGUGUUCCUGUUUUUCAAUCGGGUUUGAUUUCAUUGGAGAUUCACAAAAGAAAGGUUUUUAGAAGAGCUAGGGUUAUCAGAUUGGAAUAUUUUCAUAUUGAAAGACCUCCUUUCGUUUGUAUGAUUGAGCUAUGCACUCGCUUCAAAUUUUUGCCUUGUUUCGUUUCUAGCUAUUUCAAAUUAAUAGGUAUUG